GAUGAACGCUGGCGGCGUGCCUAAUACAUGCAAGUCGAGCGAACGGACGAGAAGCUUGCUUCUCUGAUGUUAGCGGCGGACGGGUGAGUAACACGUGGAUAACCUACCUAUAAGACUGGGAUAACUUCGGGAAACCGGAGCUAAUACCGGAUAAUAUUUUGAACCGCAUGGUUCAAAAGUGAAAGACGGUCUUGCUGUCACUUAUAGAUGGAUCCGCGCUGCAUUAGCUAGUUGGUAAGGUAACGGCUUACCAAGGCAACGAUGCAUAGCCGACCUGAUAGGGUGAUCGGCCACACUGGAACUGAGACACGGUCCAGACUCCUACGGGAGGCAGCAGUAGGGAAUCUUCCGCAAAGGGCGAAAGCCUGACGGAGCAACGCCGCGUGAGUGAUGAAGGUCUUCGGAUCGUAAAACUCUGUUAUUAGGGAAGAACAUAUGUGUAAGUAACUGUGCACAUCUUGACGGUACCUAAUCAGAAAGCCACGGCUAACUACGUG
rnacentral:rRNA from 1 species